GAAUGAGACCAGGCUGGUAAACUCUGAUGAGGAGAAAGUCUGGAGCACUGGGCCUGGAAUGGGAGGGCAGCCUGGGCCUGGAGGGGCUGCCUCAGAAGCAGCCGAAGCAGCAGCCAGAGCCGGCGAGAGGGAGAUGGCAGGAAGCAGGGAGGUAAACUUGUCCCGCUGCCCACCUGGGCAGACUCAAAAGCCAUUAGGUUUCCCAGAGCAGCAGGCUUGGUGAGAGAUGCAUCUUGUCUGCUGCCAGAGGGGAGGUCUGGCCAGGAAGACAGCCAGGAGUCAGAUCUCCCAGCUGCAGAGCUCUUAGAGAUGGCUCCUUGGGGACUGCGCAGAGAAGAGUGAAGGGAAAGAUGGUGUCAGAACUUCCUGGGUCCCUCUGUCUAAAACCUCUCAAUAAAACCUCAUUCCACCCUUAUCUCCAACAAUCUUUCCCCCUUCAAAUCCACUCUUGCUUUUGUAUUUACUUUGUAAACAGCUGAGGACCUUCAGCUCUUAGGUUUCCAAUUAUGACACAAUUUUAUUUUUCUAGUAAC
rnacentral:lncRNA from 10 species